CACGUAGGGUGCGAGCGUUGUCCGGAAUUAUUGGGCGUAAAGAGCUUGUAGGCGGUUUGUCGCGUCUGCUGUGAAAUUUCGGGGCUCAACCCCGAACUUGCAGUGGGUACGGGCAGACUAGAGUGUGGUAGGGGAGACUGGAAUUCCUGGUGUAGCGGUGAAAUGCGCAGAUAUCAGGAGGAACACCGAUGGCGAAGGCAGGUCUCUGGGCCACUACUGACGUGAGAAGCGAAAGCAUGGGGAGCGAACAGG
rnacentral:rRNA from 1 species